CCUACGGGAGGCAGCAGUGGGGAAUUUUGGACAAUGAGCGCAAGCCUGAUCCAGCAAUGCCGCGUGAGUGAAGAAGGCCUUCGGGUUGUAAAGCUCUUUUGUCAGGGAAGAAACGGUCGAGGAUAAUACCUUUGGCUAAUGACGGUACCUGAAGAAUAAGCACCGGCUAACUACGUGCCAGCAGCCGCGGUAAUACGUAGGGUGCAAGCGUUAAUCGGAAUUACUGGGCGUAAAGCGUGCGCAGGCGGUUUUGUAAGUCUGUCGUGAAAUCCCCGGGCUCAACCUGGGAAUUGCGAUGGAGACUGCAAGGCUAGAAUCUGGCAGAGGGGGGUAGAAUUCCACGUGUAGCAGUGAAAUGCGUAGAGAUGUGGAGGAACACCGAUGGCGAAGGCAGCCCCCUGGGUCAAGAUUGACGCUCAUGCACGAAAGCGUGGGGAGCAAACAGGAUUAGAUACCCUGGUAGUCCACGCCCUAAACGAUGUCUACUAGUUGUCGGGUCUUAAUUGACUUGGUAACGCAGCUAACGCGUGAAGUAGACCGCCUGGGGAGUACGGUCGCAAGAUUAAAACNCAAAUGAAUUGACGG
rnacentral:rRNA from 1 species